rnacentral:rRNA from 1 species
UACGGAGGAUGCAAGCGUUAUCCGGAAUGAUUGGGCGUAAAGCGUCCGCAGGUGGCGAUGUAAGUCUGCUGUUAAAGAGUCUAGCUCAACUAGAUAAGAGCAGUGGAAACUACAUAGCUAGAGUACGUUCGGGGCAGAGGGAAUUCCUGGUGUAGCGGUGAAAUGCGUAGAGAUCAGGAAGAACACCAGUGGCGAAGGCGCUCUGCUGGGCCGUAACUGACACUGAGGGACGAAAGCUAGGGGAGCGAAUGGG